UACAGAGGGGGCAAGCGUUGUUCGGAAUUACUGGGCGUAAAGGGCGCGUAGGCGGCCUUCUAAGUCGAACGUGAAAUCCCCGGGCUCGACCCGGGAACUGCGUCCGAUACUGGAUGGCUUGAGGUUGGGAGAGGGAUGCGGAAUUCCAGGUGUAGCGGUGAAAUGCGUAGAUAUCUGGAGGAACACCGGUGGCGAAGGCGGCAUCCUGGACCGAUUCUGACGCUGAGGAGCGAAAGCCAGGGGAGCAAACGGG
rnacentral:rRNA from 1 species